AUUGAACGCUGGCGGCAGGCCUAACACAUGCAAGUCGAACGAGUGGCGGACGGGUGAGUAAUGUAUGGGAAACUGCCUGAUGGAGGGGGAUAACUACUGGAAACGGUAGCUAAUACCGCAUACCAUCGGAUGUGCCCAUAUGGGAUUAGCUUGUUGGUGGGGUAACGGCUCACCUAGGCGACGAUCCCUAGCUGGUCUGAGAGGAUGACCAGCCACACUGGAACUGAGACACGGCCCAGACUCCUACGGGAGGCAGCAGUGGGGAAUAUUGCACAAUGGGCGCAAGCCUGAUACAGCCAUGCCGCGUGUAUGAAGAAGGCCUUCGGGUUGUAAAGUACUUUCAGCGGGGAGGCGUUACCCGCAGAAGAAGCACCGGCUAACUCCGUGCCAGCGGCCGCGGUAAUAC
rnacentral:rRNA from 1 species